AUUGAACGCUGGCGGCACGCUUUACACAUGCAAGUCGAACGGUAACAGGCCGCAAGGUGCUGACGAGUGGCGAACGGGUGGGUAAUGCAUCGGAACGUGCCCAGUCGUGGGGGAUAACGCAGCGAAAGCUGCGCUAAUACCGCAUACGAUCUAUGGAUGAAAGCGGGGGACCGUAAGGCCUCGCGCGAUUGGAGCGGCCGAUGUCAGAUUAGGUAGUUGGUGGGGUAAAGGCUCACCAAGCCAACGAUCUGUAGCUGGUCUGAGAGGACGACCAGCCACACUGGGACUGAGGAACGGCCCAGACUCCUACGGGAGGCAGCAGUGGGGAAUUUUGGACAAUGGGCGCAAGCCUGAUCCAGCAAUGCCGCGUGCAGGAAGAAGGCCUUCGGGUUGUAAACUGCUUUUGUACGGAACGAAACGGUCCUGGUUAAUACCUGGGACUAAUGACGGUACCGUAAGAAUAAGCACCGGCUAACUACGUGCCAGCCGCCGCCGUAAUAC
rnacentral:rRNA from 1 species